GUCGAGCGGACAGAUGGGAGCUUGCUCCCUGAUGUUAGCGGCGGACGGGUGAGUAACACGUGGGUAACCUGCCUGUAAGACUGGGAUAACUCCGGGAAACCGGGGCUAAUACCGGAUGCUUGAUUGAACCGCAUGGUUCAAUUAUAAAAGGUGGCUUUUACGUACCACUUACAGAUGGACCCGCGGCGCAUUAGCUAGUUGGUGAGGUAACGGCUCACCAAGGCACCGAUGCGUAGCCGACCUGAGAGGGUGAUCGCCCACACUGGGACUGAGACACGGCCCAAACUAAUACGGGAGGCAGCAGUAGGGAAUCUUCCGCAAUGGACGAAAGUCUGACGGAGCAACGCCGCGUGAGUGAUGAAGGUUUUCGGAUCGUAAAACUCUGUUGUUAGGGAAGAACAAGUACCGUUCGAAUAGGGCGGUACCUUGACGGUACCUAACCAGAAAGCCACGGCUAACUACGUGCCAGCAGCCGCGGUAAUACGUAGGUGGCAAGCGUUGUCCGGAAUUAUUGGGCGUAAAGCGCGCGCAGGCGGUUUCUUAAGUCUGAUGUGAAAGCCCCCGGCUCAACCGGGGAGGGUCAUUGGAAACUGGGGAACUUGAGUGCAAAAAAGGAAAGUGGAAUUCCACGUGUAGCGGUGAAAUGCGUAAAGAUGUGGAGGAACACCAGUGGCGAAGGCAACUCUCUGGUCUGUAACUGACGCUGAGGCGCGAAAGCGUGGGGAGCGAACAGGAUUAGAUACCCUGGUAGUCCACGCCGUAAACAAUGAGUGCUAAGUGUUAAAGGGUUUCCGCCCUUUAGUGCUGCAGCAAACGCAUUAAGCACUCCGCCUGGGGAGUACGGUCGCAAGACUGAAACUCAAAGGAAUUGACGGGGGCCCGCACAAGCGGUGGAGCAUGUGGUUUAUUUCGAAGCAACGCGAAAAACCUUACCAGGUCUUGACAUCCUCUGACAACCCUAGAGAUAGGGCUUCCCCU
rnacentral:rRNA from 1 species